CUGACCACAGGACGAGGCAGUUAAUCGCGAUUAUGGAGGCGGUUCCGCCUAGGCGAGGUUUGGUCAUUGCACCCAGACUAAACUGACCCUAGCGAUUAUAACAAAUGCGGAUAACUCGGUCGUAUAAUUUCUGCUUGUAGGGACUGCAUUCGCGCUAUCCUUU